rnacentral:rRNA from 1 species
UACGGGGGGGGCAAGCGUUGUUCGGAAUUACUGGGCGUAAAGGGCUCGUAGGCGGCCAACUAAGUCGGACGUGAAAUCCCUCGGCUUAACCGGGGACUGCGUCCGAUACGGGCAGGCUAGAGUUCGGUAGGGGAGACUGGAAUUCCUGGUGUAGCGGUGAAAUGCGCAGAUAUCAGGAAGAACACCUAUGGCGAAGGCAGCUCUCUGGGACGGUACUGACGCUGAGACGCGAAAGCGUGGGGAGCGAACAGG